rnacentral:rRNA from 1 species
CCGGCUAAUACCUGGUUGGGCGGUACCCAAAGAAUAAGCACCGGCUAACUUCGUGCCAGCAGCCGCGGUAAUACGAAGGGUGCAAGCGUUACUCGGAAUUACUGGGCGUAAAGCGUGCGUAGGUGGUCGUUUAAGUCCGUUGUGAAAGCCCUGGGCUCAACCUGGGAACUGCAGUGGAUACUGGGCGACUAGAGUGUGGUAGAGGGUAGCGGAAUUCCUGGUGUAGCAGUGAAAUGCGUAGAGAUCAGGAGGAACAUCCAUGGCGAAGGCAGCUACCUGGACCAAACUGACACUGAGGCACGAAAGCGUGGGGAGCAAACAGGAUUAGAUACCCUUGUAGUC